AUAAGACAUUCUGUGAACAUACUACCAAUGUUCCUAUAUUUUAAGUUGCGAAAUAAUACAUACGUGUAACAGAUACAACAUUACUUAUAACAUACCAGACAAACUAAGUGACACUUUAGGCCUACAGUGCAAUAAUAUGUCAAAUUUAAAGAGUUUCCCAAGUUCAAUUAAUACAAUAUUAUAAACAUACAAAUGUAAUAAAAAUUAUUGUUCGCGAAUAUUCAAUUUGGAAUGCGAUUUUGUUAAUAAAAAAAAUACUUAUAACUUAUGCAAAACCCAAGAAAGGCAUUUAUAUUUAUUUCUUUUGCGUUCAUUUUCAAAUUCGCCGUGCAUAUAUUUUUGUGCAUGGCGCUUGAGAGGGCAUCACGUGACUAAAAACGACCAACCAACGACCUCGCUUCGGCCAUCUUGGCAUCUUCAUCUUGGCCACCUUGCUUUGCCGUGGGUGGAUCGUUGUUUGUAUUAUUUGUGCUUUUUAAGAAUAUUUUUUUAAUUCGGAUACUUUUAUAAUAGCUUUAAUAGUAUUAUUAACAUAGUGAAUAAAAUGGUGUCCUGUUUUUAACGCAGUUGGAGUAGCAGAAACAAAUGUAGAUAAAAAAAUCUGCCGGAAUAAUGUUUCAAUUAUGACAGAAGCUCCAAACAAAUGACUGUGAAUGAAAAGCCCUAUUAAAAGCUUUCCAGAAGAUCCUGCGAAGAAGACAUGAAGUAUAGAUCAGAUUUAUUAAUAGAGGAGUAUGUUCAAAACACUUUUUAGAAAAAGAUAUUGACAGAACUUCACUUUCAUCUGUUCGUUUAAGAGACUGUGCUGUUCCAAUAGCUUAUGUCACACAGAAUCAGCUGAGAGAAGUGGUCUACAAAAAACCAGAAAGGAAACGGAAUAUGUGGCUACGAAAAGCAAAAGAAAGGUUUACAAAGCAAAUGUGACACAUUUUUUUAUAAUAUUUAGGAAUGUCAGUAAAUUACAUUAAAAAAUGUAUGUAAAGAUUUUUUGCAAUAAAAAUGUUUAUAUUUA